UACGUAGGGGUCUAGCGUUGUCCGGAUUUAUUGGGCGUAAAGAGCUCGUAGGCGGUUUGUCGCGUCGACUGUGAAAACCCGAGGCUUAACCUCGGGCCUGCAGUCGAUACGGGCAGACUAGAGUUCGGUAGGGGAGACUGGAAUUCCUGGUGUAGCGGUGAAGUGCGCAGAUAUCAGGAGGAACACCGGUGGCGAAAGCGCUCUGCUGGACUGCAACUGACACUCAGGGACGAAAGCUAGGGGAGCGAAUGGG
rnacentral:rRNA from 1 species